GUGGUUGUAGCUCAACAGGCAGAGUACGCGGCUGUGAACCGCGUGGAUGCCGGUUCAAAUCCGGUCGAUCACCCCA
rnacentral:tRNA from 1 species